AUUGAACGCUGGCGGCAGGCCUAACACAUGCAAGUCGAAAGAGUGGCGGAAGGGUGAGUAAUGGCUGGAAAAAUGCCUGAUGGAGGGGGAUAACUACUGGAAACGGUAGAUAAUACCGAAUAAACUCGAAUGUACCCAGAUGGGAUUAGCUAGUCGGUGGGGUAAAGGCUCACCUAGGCGACGAUCCCUAGCUGGUCUGAGAGGAUGACCAGCCACACUGGAACUGAGACACGGUCCAGACUCCUACGGGAGGCAGCAGUGGGGAAUAUUGCAAAAUGGGCGCAAGCCGCAUGCAGCCAUGCCGCGUGUAUGAAGAAGGCCUUCGGGUUUUAAAGUACUUUCAGCGGGGAGGCGGUACCCGAAGAAGAAGCACCGGCUAACUCCGUGCCAGCAGCCGCGGUAAUAC
rnacentral:rRNA from 1 species